rnacentral:rRNA from 1 species
GACGAACGCUGGCGGCGUGCUUAACACAUGCAAGUCGAACGGAAAGGCCCUGCUUUUGUGGGGUGCUCGAGUGGCGAACGGGUGAGUAACACGUGAGUAACCUGCCCUUGACUUUGGGAUAACUUCAGGAAACUGGGGCUAAUACCGGAUAGGAGCUCCUGCUGCAUGGUGUGGGUUGGAAAGUUUCGGCGGUUGGGGAUGGACUCGCGGCUUAUCAGCUUGUUGGUGGGGUAGUGGCUUACCAAGGCUUUGACGGGUAGCCGGCCUGGGAGGGUGACCGGCCACAUUGGGACUGAGAUACGGCCCAGACUCCUACGGGAGGCAGCAGUGGGGAAUAUUGCACAAUGGGCGGAAGCCUGAUGCAGCAACGCCGCGUGCGGGAUGACGGCCUUCGGGUUGUAAACCGCUUUCGCCUGUGACGAAGCGUGAGUGACGGUAAUGGGUAAAGAGGCACCGGCUAACUACGUG